GCCUGGUGUGGUGGUGCACACCUGUAAUCCUAGCUACUCAGGAGGCUGAGGCAGGAGGAUCCCUUAAGCCCAGGAGUUUGAAGCUGCAGUGCGCCAUGAUCAUGCUACUGCACUCCAGCCUGGGUGGCAGAGUGAGAUCCUGUCUCUU
ensembl:misc_RNA Metazoa_SRP Metazoan signal recognition particle RNA